rnacentral:rRNA from 1 species
UACGGAGGAUGCGAGCGUUAUCCGGAUUUAUUGGGUUUAAGGGGUGCGCAGGCGGAGGUGCAAGUCAGCGGUCAAAUUGCGGGGCUCAACCCCGUACUGCCGUUGAAACUGCAUCCCUUGAGUGCGCGAGAAGUAUGCGGAAUGCGUGGUGUAGCGGUGAAAUGCAUAGAUAUCACGCAGAACUCCGAUUGCGAAGGCAGCCUACCGGCUUCUGUCUGACGCUGAGGCACGAAAGCGUGGGUAUCGAACAGG